rnacentral:rRNA from 1 species
UACGGGGGGGGCAAGCGUUGUUCGGAAUUACUGGGCGUAAAGGGUUAGUAGGUGGCCAACUAAGUCAGACGUGAAAUCCCUCAGCUUAACUGGGGAACUGCGUCUGAGACUGAUUGGCUCGAGGACAGGAGAGGAACGCGGAAUUCCAGGUGUAGCGGUGAAAUGCGUAGAUAUCUGGAGGAACACCGGUGGCGAAGGCGGCGUUCUGGACUGUUUCUGACACUGACGCUGAUGCGCGAAAGCCAGGGGAGCGAACGGG